rnacentral:miRNA from 1 species
UUUCUUCCAGUCAACAGGGGAUAACAACCCCAUCAACCAGAGGGCAUUCCUUCUGGUUGAUGAGGUAAAACAACUUCAUUGACCAGGAGGAAUCCCUUCCAGUUGAUGAGGUUGUUAUACCUCAUUGACUGGAAGAAA